rnacentral:rRNA from 1 species
AUUGAACGCUGGCGGCAUGCCUUACACAUGCAAGUCGAACGGCAGCACGGGAGUAAUCCUGGUGGCGAGUGGCGAACGGGUGAGUAAUAUAUCGGAACGUGCCCAGUCGUGGGGGAUAACGCAGCGAAAGCUGUGCUAAUACCGCAUACGAUCUACGGAUGAAAGCGGGGGAUCGCAAGACCUCGCGCGAUUGGAGCGGCCGAUAUCAGAUUAGCUAGUUGGUGGGGUAAAGGCCCACCAAGGCGACGAUCUGUAGCUGGUCUGAGAGGACGACCAGCCACACUGGAACUGAGACACGGUCCAGACUCCUACGGGAGGCAGCAGUGGGGAAUUUUGGACAAUGGGCGCAAGCCUGAUCCAGCAAUGCCGCGUGCAGGAUGAAGGCCUUCGGGUUGUAAACUGCUUUUGUACGGAACGAAACGGCCCUUUCUAAUACAGGGAGCUAAUGACGGUACCGUAAGAAUAAGCACCGGCUAACUACGUGCCAGCAGCCGCGGUAA